AUUUAGAGUUCCACCAACAGUGUAAAGUGUUCUUUUUUUCUCCAGAUCCUGUCUAGCAUUUGUAACUGUAUACUUGAUGACUGUUAUUCUGACUGUCAGAUAAGUUGGCAAGAGCUCUGGCAAUAAGAUUGUUAAGUAUGAAGAUGAGGCCACACCUUGAAGGUAGCAGAGCAGAAAGUCAGAAGGAGACUGGAUUUCUUAAGACAACAUGGAGCCACCAUCACUGUCACGGACUCACCACCUCUAACUUUCUUUUACCUGAGAGAAAAAUAAAUUUCCAUCUUGUUUAAGC